rnacentral:tRNA from 1 species
GGGGUUGUGGCUCAGUGGUUGAGCACUUGCCAAGCAUGUAUGAGGCACUGGGUUCAAUCCUCAGCACCACA